rnacentral:rRNA from 1 species
AUUGAACGCUGGCGGCAGGCCUAACACAUGCAAGUCGAGCGGAUGAAGGGAACUUGCUCCUGGAUUCAGCGGCGGACGGGUGAGUAAUGCCUAGGAAUCUGCCUGGUAGUGGGGGAUAACGUCCGGAAACGGGCGCUAAUACCGCAUACGUCCUGAGGGAGAAAGUGGGGGAUCUUCGGACCUCACGCUAUCAGAUGAGCCUAGGUCGGAUUAGCUAGUUGGUGGGGUAAAGGCCUACCAAGGCGACGAUCCGUAACUGGUCUGAGAGGAUGAUCAGUCACACUAGAACUGAGACACGGUCCAGACACCUACGGGAGGCAGCAGUGGGGAAUAUUGGACAAUGGGCGAAAGCCUGAUCCAGCCAUGCCGCGUGUGUGAAGAAGGUCUUCGGAUUGUAAAGCACUUUAAGUUGGGAGGAAGGGCAGUAAGUUAAUACCUUGCUGUUUUGACGUUACCAACAGAAUAAGCACCGGCUAACUUCGUG